rnacentral:rRNA from 1 species
AUCAACUUUCGAUGGUAGGAUAGAGGCCUACCAUGGUGGUAACGGGUAACGGGGUGUUAGGGCACGACACCGGAGAGGGAGCCUGAGAAACGGCUACCACAUCCAAGGAUGGCAGCAGGCGCGCAAAUUACCCAAUCCCGACACGGGGAGGUAGUGACAAUAAAUAACAAUACGGGAUUCUAAAGGAUUUCGUAAUUGGAAUGAGUACAAUUUAAAUCUCUUAACGAUCAACAAUUGGAGGGCAAGUCUGGUGCCAGCAGCCGCGGUAAUUCCAGCUCCAAUAGCGUAUAUUAAAGUUGUUGCAGUUAAAAAGCUCGUAGUUGAAUUUCGGGGUUAGUAGGUUGGUCAUGCCUCUGGUAUGUACUGAUCUCACUGAUUCCUCCCUCUUGACGAACUGUAAUGUCAUUAAUUUGGUGUUCCAGGAAAUCAGGACUGUUACUUUGAAAAAAUUAGAGUGUUUAAAGCAGGCUAAGGCUUGAAUACAUUAGCAUGGAAUAAUGAAAUAGGACGUUUGAACCUAUUUUGUUGGUUCCUAGGAUCGACGUAAUGAUUAAUAGGGAUAGUUGGGGGCAUUAGUAUUCAAUUGUCAGAGGUGAAAUUCUUGGAUUUAUUGAAGACUAACUACUGCGAAAGCAUUUGCCAAGGAUGUUUUCAUUAAUCAAGAACGAAAGUUAGGGGAUCGAAGACGAUCAGAUACCGUCGUAGUCUUAACCAUAAACUAUGCCGACUAGGGAUCGGAUGAUGUUAAUUUUUUAAUGACUCAUUCGGCGCCUUACGGGAAACCAAAGUGUUUGGGUUC